AAAUCCGUUGACUUUUAAAAUCGUGAGAACUCUACUCCCCUCUA
rnacentral:tRNA from 1 species